rnacentral:RNase_P_RNA from 1 species
GAAAGCAGCUGCGUGGGGUACCGGGUGAGGAAAGUCCGGGCUUCACAGGGCAGGGUGCCGGAUAACGUCCGGUGGAGGCGACUCUAAGGAAAGUGCAACAGAAAAUACACCGCCGGCUUCGGCCGGUAAGGGUGAAAUGGCGAGGUAAGAGCUCACCGCCCGGCUGGUAACAGACGGGGCAGUGUAAACCCCACCCGAAGCAAGACCAAGUUCGAGUCAUGGGCGGCCCGUCCGACGGCUCAUGGUAGGUCGCUUGAGCGCCGGAGUAAUCCGGCGUCUAGAUAGAUGAUCACCCAACGACAUAACCCGGCUUAUCGUCCGACUCA